CCCUCUGGGAGGCGGCUGAAACCCGGUGAGAAUUCGAGCGUGGCGCGGGUGGGCCAGCAGUGUUUGGGGACCCGGAGCACUCUCCACAGCUGCUGGUCCAGGUGCUAAGUCCCUCACUGCCCAGCACCUGCAGCGCCGACCGGCCGCUCUUGAGUGCGGGGCCUGCAGAGCCCACGCCCACCCGGAACUCGCGCUGGCCCGUGAGCGCCGUGCCGCAGCCCCGGUUCCCGCCCGCGCCUCUCCCUCCACACUUCGCCGCAAGCAGAGGGAGCCGGCUCCGGCCUCAGCUGGCCCAGAGAGGGGCUCCCUCAGUGCAGUGGCGAGCUGAAGGGCUCCUCAAGGGCGGCUGGAGUGGACGCUGAGGCCGAGGAGACGCCAAGAGCAAACGAGGGCUGCUAGUACAUUGUCACCUCUCACUGGUAACUACAGUUGCUGUCAGUUUAACUCCUUCUUCCCACCAACAUGGAUUGUGCUGAAAGAUGGCAAAUACUUGUAUGCUGACAGUUUUCUACAGCUUAAGACCCGGUUCUUGAUGGGAG
rnacentral:lncRNA from 1 species